rnacentral:rRNA from 1 species
UACAGAGGAGGCAAGCGUUGUUCGGAAUUACUGGGCGUAAAGGGCUCGUAGGCGGCCAACUAAGUCAGACGUGAAAUCCCUCGGCUUAACCGGGGAACUGCGUCUGAUACUGGAUGGCUUGAGGUUGGGAGAGGGAUGCGGAAUUCCAGGUGUAGCGGUGAAAUGCGUAGAUAUCUGGAGGAACACCGGUGGCGAAGGCGGCAUCCUGGACCAAUUCUGACGCUGAGGAGCGAAAGCCAGGGGAGCAAACGGG